rnacentral:rRNA from 1 species
GAGACAGCAGUCGCCGCGGUAAAACGUAGGUGGCAAGCGUUGUCCGGAAUUGUUGGGCGUAAAGCGCGCGCAGGCGGUUUCUUAAGUCUGAUGUGAAAGCCCCCGGCUUAACCGGGGAGGGUCAUUGGAAACUGGGAGACUUAGAGUGCAGAAGAGGAGAGUGGAAUUCCAUGUGUAGCGGUGAAAUGCGUAGAGAUUAGGAGGAACACCGGUGGCGAAGGCGGCUUUUUGGCCUGUAACUGACACUGAGGCGCGAAAGCGUGGGGAGCAAACAGGAUUAGAUACCCCAGUAGUCCCUGUCUCUUAUA